rnacentral:misc_RNA from 1 species
AUUUGAUCGAACAGUGGAUGCUCUGGCUAAUAAAGACUGGAACUGAUGUUGAUACUCUUCAACGGUACCUGUUUGUUUCAAAUUCACAAGCUCACCUAGUGGGUUGCCUUGCAGAGGUGGUCCAAAGCGCAGGUUGCAGUAAUCCUUAAAGGUGUUCCAUGUUAAUCCCAGCUCCUCCUGCUCUAGUUUAUAGAACCAUAAUUGAGCUUCUCCUAUCAUGUGAAAUGCUGCUAGUUCCACCUUGUCUGCCUCCAAAGUUCAUUGAUUAUAAAAAAAUUGUUCUCAUCGAUGGAGCCACACCAAGGGAUCAUCGGACCCAUUGAAGGAAGGAAAAUCUAGUUUGGCAUAUCGGGGUACUAUCAACCCUACUUGUCGUACUUAUGAUCUUUCCCCUCUUUGCUAUGGGAAGGGAACAUGGCUGUUACUAUCAGACGUACCAUCUUCUUCCUGUGUUGUUUUCUUGCUUGAAGAUUUGAAGAAUUCCAGUAGCUGUCAUGACAAGUCAUCAAUGCGGGAUUCUACUCGAGAGCAGGAUUCCUGCAUUUUCUGAACACAAGUAUUGGUUUCCUGCAUAAAUGUUUCAACUUUAUCAUGCCAGUUAGGAUCACCCAUUUCAUUAUGCUCUGAUACGAAGUUGUUAAGGGCCCUCGCAUAGGAU